GCUUCCAGGAAAAGCCUCUAAGCAUCAGGUAACAUUAAAUCGUACCCCAAACCGACACAGGUGGUCAGGUAGAGAAUACCAAGGCGCUUGAGAGAACUCGGGUGAAGGAACUAGGCAAAAUGGUGCCGUAACUUCGGGAGAAGGCACGCUGGUGUGUAGGUGAAGCCCCUGCGGGUGGAGCUGAGACCAGUCGAAGAUACCAGCUGGCUG
rnacentral:rRNA from 1 species